rnacentral:rRNA from 1 species
UACUAAGAACUUUCCAGAGAUGGAUUGGUGCCUUCGGGAACUUAGAUACAGGUGCUGCAUGGCUGUCGUCAGCUCGUGUCGUGAGAUGUUGGGUUAAGUCCCGCAACGAGCGCAACCCUUUUCCUUAUUUGCCAGCGGGUCAUGCCGGGAACUUUAAGGAUACUGCCAGUGACAAACUGGAGGAAGGCGGGGACGACGUCAAGUCAUCAUGGCCCUUACGGCCAGGGCUACACACGUGCUACAAUGGUCGGUACAAAGGGUUGCUACCUCGCGAGAGGAUGCUAAUCUCAAAAAGCCGAUCGUAGUCCGGAUCGCAGUCUGCAACUCGACUGCGUGAAGUCGGAAUCGCUAGUAAUCGCGGAUCAGAAUGCCGCGGUGAAUACGUUCCCGGGCCUUGUACACACCGCCCGUCACACCAUGGGAGUUUGUUGCACCAGAAGUAGGUAGUCUAACCGCAAGGAGGACGCUUACCACGGUGUGGCCGAUGACUGGGGUGAAGUCGUAACAAGGUAGGCGUAGAUGA